GAAGAGUGCAUCGAAAGCUAUAAACUCGAAAAGGGAUCAUCAAAAUCUAAUCACUGGAUCAUGAGAUAAUGCCUUUUUUUGGUUUUAAUUUUUUCCCCGAAUUUAAAUUCGGGGGAAAAAAUUAAAACCAAAAAAAGGCAUUAUCUCGUGAUCCAGUGAUUGGAUUUUGAUGAUCCUUUUUUGAGUUUAU
rnacentral:pre_miRNA from 1 species